CAUUAGCUCAGCGGUUAGAGCAGAGGACUCAUAAUCCUUUGGUCCUAAGUUCAAAUCUUAGA
rnacentral:tRNA from 1 species